AACGAACGCUGGCGGCAUGCCUAACACAUGCAAGUCGAACGAGACCUUCGGGUCUAUUGGCGCACGGGUGCGUACCACGGGGGAACCUGCCCUUAGGUUCGGAAUAACUCCCCGAAAGGGGUGCUAAUACCGGAUAAUGUCUUCGGACCAAGGAUUUAUCGCCUUUGGAUGGGCCCGCGUUGGAUUAGCUAGUUGGUAGGGUAAAAGCCUACCAAGGCGACGAUCCAUAGCUGGUCUGAGAGGAUGAUCAGCCACACUGGGACUGAGACACGGCCCAGACUCCGACGGGAGGCAGCAGUAGGGAACAUUGGACAAGGGGGGAAAGCGUGAUCCAGCAGUGCGGGGUGAGUGAUGAAGGGCUUAGGGUUGUAAAGCUCUUUUACCCGGGAUGAUAAUGACAGUACCGGGAGAAUAAGCUCCGGCUAACUCCGUG
rnacentral:rRNA from 1 species